UCGGUAAGCAAGCUCAGCUCACUGUGCAUGAUACUCCACGACCUGGCGAUUCAACUACAACCCGGACAGGACAGAUCGACACGCUCGUCUAUUGGCGGCAACCGAGUGGCCAAUGCUCAAGGUACCAGGACCGCACGAUAAUAUACGGUCGCUUUGUCGUCUCAAAUGGUCAAGCCGCUGCAUGAAAAAGGCCACCAGAUCUCAAGUGAACAAACGGAGACAAGAGAUUAGCAAAAGAUGCAGUAUGUAGGUGAUCCAAUUAAUCAUGUAGGAGUACAUCGAUCCUUUGGCGGUGAAGCGGGAGAGAGGUGGCUCAGGCCGUGAAUUACGGGAGGUAUAUACAUCCCAAUCUUUGCGCGUGGCCAUGUACAUUCCUGGUAUAUGGGUCCAAAGACAACGCGUACAACCUAUGAAUAAUUCUUGGUGGACCCAGGCGCUUGAGAAGCUUUGCUUUCAAGCAGAGCCGCUCGCGCGUGUCGUCGCCAAUGUCGUCGGGCUCUGGAAGGUAGCUCUUCGGCACUAGGCAGCACGAAUGAAGCCCGCCCACAGCGUUAUGGAUUACGUAGAAACUUCCAGUUUAGCACCAGCAGGUUUCGGUCGUAGGGGCCGCGUCGAGAAGAGGAGAUCGAACGAAAGAAAACUCGGGAAUGGCUAGCUAUCAAUCGAAAAAUGUGUGCAGCGUCAGUGCCAAUAGCGAGGAGGAAGCAUCGAGGAACAAGAUGAUGGCCAAACUGUCAAUGGCAUGUGGUUGCGAAGAAUUAUGGGCCCAGGUUUUAAUUUGGUUAGUUUACCAUCUAGCCUUUAUAGUGGCAAAUACUCGGAGCCACUCUUUAUUCGGGUGGUAUAGACGUAUAGUCUUUACUCGGUCUUUUGGUGAGGACAUGUGACAGGAAUGAAGGUGCUAAAACUGCGGGAUACAUAACUGAGUUUAUGAAAUGGACAAUUGGCCAAGUGAAGAGCAUUUUGGUUUUUUUUUGUUUGUGCGGCGUGCUAGGCCGGCCGUAAACGAAAACAAAUCCGUCAGAGCGCUAAUUUUUUUUUAGGACAGAUAUUAGGCCUGCCAGGAAGUUUCCUAGGAGGAAUCACUUUUUGUAUCCAUCUUCUUUUGUUCGUUUGAUCAGGAAGCAUCGAAUUCAAAUUAUUUUAUUAUUCUACCGAGCUGAUGGAGCUGAUAUAUAGAUUCUUUGCCACAUUCUUACGUGAAAAGAGUCAUGUAUAUCCGACGCGCCAAUCCCACCAACUCACGCGCUUUCUCCGCUCCCGCUCCCUGCACAUUAUCGGAUGGAUUGUUAACGCACCACCCAAGUAAAGCUUCUUCCAACAAUUAGAGUCAUCCAACAAUUAGAGUCAACCACUAGUUCAUAGCAAUAAAAAUGGUAGAAGAGCAAUGUUCAAAAUAGCGGGCUAUAGAAGCAUUGUAGCGAUUUUUGGCAACUGCCACUACAACAUCGUUGUACUAAAUAGUGGGCUAUAGCGACGCUAUAGCAAAAUAUAGCGGAGCUAUAGUAGCUGAGAAGAACUCUCCGCUAAAUAUCGUAGUCCGCUAUUUAGAACAUUGCAUAAGAGACAACUUGUCCAAUGAUUUAACUCUUAGCAUAUAGCUUAAAAUAUAAAUGGAUCCACAUACCAGCCCACAUAGUCUUGGAAUAUGUGUAUGAGACUAUCUCCUGAUCAAGAGAUAGUUCUUCUCUCUUUCACCUAGAUAAAAUAUUAUAUUUUAAUCCUACGAGGGAGCUGACAUGCCACCGGAGGAGGCCUAGCCAGGAAGAAUAUCUCUACACUUCAUUGGCCGCGUCGUGAACAGCAGAAAACGUCUCAAGGUGAAGCUUCACGCCGGUUACGGCCCCGGACAUCGAUCAGGACAGGCAUGCUCGUCUCUCGGUAGCAACCGAGAGGCCAGUGCUUUGAUCUGCUACCUUACCAUAGAUUUAUAAUGCUCGCUCGUCUCGAACGGCCAGGCUGCAUUGAAGGGGACGAAUCGGGGAGGCGUGUGUGGGCCGGGCGCGAGUGGUGGUGAUACAACGCACCAGCAGGAGGUAAAGUCAACACACGGGAACGAGAUUAUUGGUCAUGCUGUUUCCUUGGCGGUGAAGCAGGCGGCUCGGCACGCGCGAUCUCCCGUUGCAGCGACACGGUGCCGCUACC
rnacentral:lncRNA from 1 species